AGAGAGAGAGGUAUCUCCGCAGCCUGCUCCGGCGGCGGCGGGUAGCGUUGUGGAUCGAGACUUUGUUCGAUCUGCAGCGGAGAGGCAGGCGAUUCACGAUAGUCGAAGACAUGGCCGUCGCUUUCGAGAUGGGAGGUUAAUUUUCAGAACUGGAUGGAACAAUUUCGCUGUUUCCAAUGAACUCGAAGCAGGUCUGGAUGUGAUGAUGAUGUUCUAUAUGACUUUUUCUUGCCAUGUCAAGAUGGAUUGAAUGGUCAUCCCCAGGUAUAUAUGACCCCCUAUACUGCAGCCCUCAAUGUUACCUCAUUGGGACUGCAGAAUUUCACCAAUUCCAUGCGUAGCGCCAGCUUGGGAUGGAGUUGGAGGGCAUGCGGUGUUUGCUUGCUGAAGAGGAUGGACUGGUCUUUUUUAUUGGGCGUAUUGUCUUAGUGUGUAUUGGUCCUUUUUAGCUACAGGCUGUGUGGUUUCCCAUUUUCAUUUAGAAUGGCAACUCAACAUUGGACUGAUAACGAGAGACACAAAGAGCUGUUAGAACUCAAUGUUUUUGGGUUGGCAGAAAUGUAUCUGUUUUCUAAUUUGAGAACAGACGGUUUUUCUAAUUCAUUUUUCUGUAGUUUUGAGUCAUACAGCUGUCAUCUUACUAU